AUUUAAUGUCACAGGAAACGAUAUCAGGCAAUGAUGUGUUCGUUGUUAACUAGUAACGUUGCUAUGUCAUCGCUCCGCUUGGUUCAAUCUCAGACCAAACAUGUCUGCAGGUCUACGUAUUAUCAUCCUCUGCGCUUGCCGUUGCCGACGACGCUCUAAGACGUAGACUUUUUACGAAAAAGUUGACAGCACUUUUCUGCGUUUUAUCCAUCUUGUUUACAUAAACUAUAAAUGAUCUUAAAGGAAAGACCACGUAUACUGCUUUGGAAAUGAUUGGACGAUGUUCACAUAUCCCCACCCUUACAUUCAGAC
rnacentral:lncRNA from 1 species